AACGAACGCUGGCGGCAGGCUUAACACAUGCAAGUCGAGCGCCCCGCAAGGGGAGCGGCAGACGGGUGAGUAACGCGUGGGAAUCUACCCAUCUCUACGGAAUAACGCAUGGAAACGAGUGCUAUACCGUAUACGUCCUUCGGGAGAAAGAUUUAUCGGAGAUGGAUGAGCCCGCGUUGGAUUAGCUAGUUGGUGGGGUAAAGGCCUACCAAGGCGACGAUCCAUAGCUGGUCUGAGAGGAUGAUCAGCCACACUGGGACUGAGACACGGCCCAGACUCCUACGGGAGGCAGCAGUGGGGAAUAUUGGACAAUGGGCGCAAGCCUGAUCCAGCCAUGCCGCGUGAGUGAUGAAGGCCCUAGGGUUGUAAAGCUCUUUCACCGGUGAAGAUAAUGACGGUAACCGGAGAAGAAGCCCCGGCUAACUUCGUGCCAGCCGCCGCCGUAAUAC
rnacentral:rRNA from 1 species